rnacentral:rRNA from 1 species
UGGGGAAUAUUGCACAAUGGGCGAAAGCCUGAUGCAGCGACGCCGCGUGAGGGAUGACGGCCUUCGGGUUGUAAACCUCUUUCAGCAGGGAAGAAGCGAAAGUGACGGUACCUGCAGAAGAAGCGCCGGCUAACUACGUGCCAGCAGCCGCGGUAAUACGUAGGGCGCAAGCGUUGUCCGGAAUUAUUGGGCGUAAAGAGCUCGUAGGCGGUUAGUCGCGUCUGCUGUGAAAACUCGAGGCUCAACCUCGGGCUUGCAGUGGGUACGGGCUGACUAGAGUGCGGUAGGGGUGACUGGAAUUCCUGGUGUAGCGGUGGAAUGCGCAGAUAUCAGGAGGAACACCGAUGGCGAAGGCAGGUUACUGGGCCGCAACUGACGCUGAGGAGCGAAAGCAUGGGGAGCGAACAGGAUUAGAUAGCCCUGGUAGCCCAUGCCGUAAACGUUGGGCACUAGGUGUGGGGUCCAUUCCACGGAUUCCGUGCCGCAGCAAACGCAUUAAGUGCCCCGCCUGGGGAGUACGGCCGCAAGGCUAAAACUUAAAGGAAUUGACGGGGUCAUAGCUGUUUCCU